rnacentral:rRNA from 1 species
CCUACGGGAGGCAGCAGAAACUCAAAGGAAUUGACGGCCCUACGGGAGGCAGCAGUGGGGAAUAUUGCACAAUGGGGAAAACCCUGAUGCAGCGACGCCGCGUGAAGGAUGAAGGUUUUCGGAUCGUAAACUUCUAUCAGCAGGGAAGAUAAUGACGGUACCUGACUAAGAAGCCCCGGCUAACUACGUGCCAGCAGCCGCGGUAAUACGUAGGGGGCAAGCGUUAUCCGGAAUUACUGGGUGUAAAGGGUGCGUAGGCGGUAAUGUAAGUCAGGUGUGAAAGCCCGAAGCUCAACUUCGGGAUUGCACUUGAAACUACAUAACUAGAGUACAGGAGAGGUGAGUGGAAUUCCUAGUGUAGCGGUGAAAUGCGUAGAUAUUAGGAGGAACGCCAGUGGCGAAGGCGACUCACUGGACUGUAACUGACGCUGAGGCACGAAAGCGUGGGGAGCGAACAGGAUUAGAUACCCUGGUAGUCCGCGCUGUAAACGAUGAAUGCUAGGUGUCGGCUCUUAAAGGGUCGGUGCCGAAGUUAACGCAUUAAGCAUUCCACCUGGGGAGUACGUACGCAAGUAUGAAACUCAAAGGAAUUGACGG